GGUGGCUCAGUGGUAGAGUACUUGCCUUGCAUGCAUGAAGCCCUGGGUUUGAUUCCCCAGCACCA
rnacentral:tRNA from 1 species